GACGAACGCUGGCGGCGUGCCUAACACAUGCAAGUCGAGCGAGUGAAUCUCCUUCGGGAGUGAAGCUAGCGGCGGACGGGUGAGUAACACGUGGGCAACCUGCCUCAUAGAGGGGAAUAGCCUUUCGAAAGGAAGAUUAAUACCGCAUAAGAUUGUAGCUUCGCAUGAAGUAGCAAUUAAAGGAGCAAUCCACUAUGAGAUGGGCCCGCGGCGCAUUAGCUAGUUGGUGAGGUAACGGCUCACCAAGGCGACGAUGCGUAGCCGACCUGAGAGGGUGAUCGGCCACAUUGGGACUGAGACACGGCCCAGACUCCUACGGGAGGCAGCAGUGGGGAAUAUUGCACAAUGGGGGAAACCCUGAUGCAGCAACGCCGCGUGAGUGAUGACGGCCUUCGGGUUGUAAAGCUCUGUCUUCAGGGACGAUAAUGACGGUACCUGAGGAGGAAGCCACGGCUAACUACGUGCCAGCAGCCGCAGUAA
rnacentral:rRNA from 1 species